rnacentral:tRNA from 1 species
GCCUCGGUGGUGUAGCCCGGCCAAGGUUACGCUGAUAGCAUAAGGGGCUUUCGACCCCUUGACCCGGGAACCACAUGUUCGGGACUUCAAAUCCCGGCCGAGGCACCA